rnacentral:rRNA from 1 species
UACGUAGGGUGCGAGCGUUGUCCGGAAUUAUUGGGCGUAAAGGGGCUCGUAGGCGGUUUGUCGCGUCGGGAGUGAAAUCCACUGGCUUAACUGGUGGCUUGCUUUCGAUACGGGCAGACUGGAGGUAUGCAGGGGGAGAACGGAAUUCCGGGUGGAGUGGUGAAAUGCGUAGAUAUCCGGAGGAAUACCAAAGGCGAAGGCAGUGUCCUGGCUGAGUUCUGACGCUGAGGCGCGAAAGCUAGGGGAGCGAACAGG